AUAUUUGGAAAAAGCCUUGUCCCCAGCACAGACAUGGUGCUUUUAAAGGAUUAAUCAGUCCUCUUGGAAAGGCAUGUGGCCAAUUCACCCUGAGUACUGAGGGCUGAGCUCAAGACCUCCUCAGAACUUGUGGUCUAGGAUAUAUGUCGGAUAGGUUUUCCGACAAAUUCUAAACAGGUGACCUUGUUACCUUUGGUAGAGUACAUCCAGCAAGUGCCUAUUAAGUGCUCAAUAGAGACUCUCAGAGCUGAAAAGAGCCCUAGAUGAUGCAACCCAAUUCUCUAUUGGGUUCAAUAAAGCAGCCCUGACAACAUAUAGCAAACUCUGAAUAACUGAGCAUUGAGGCCUCUCUAAAGAGGUCAGUUGGAUGACUGAUGUAGACACGCUCUUCUUGGUCUUAGUACAUUCUAGUUUUCCAGUCAUAGCUUGUUUUCUGAACAGCCCAUAGCAACCCAUCAGACCACUCAAACUGAGCAUGUGUUAACUGUAGCAUAGAUGCCCAUGAGUCAAAGAACAGAUGGAUAGGGCAGUGGUUGCUGUAGGGAGCUUACAGACAGGAGUCAGACAAAGAACUACACACACCUCACCUGGCUAGGAGAGCUCUGGGGAAGCAGGGGAUCUUGGGAAGAAAACAGUUUGGGAUUAAAGAUGAUGGUCUUAAAUUCUUAGACAAAGCAGAUGUAGAAGUCUAGGCAGAGGAGACAGGCAGCCCAGACAGGGGCAAAGGCAAGAACCACACAGUAUGCAGAGAGCUGCAGACCACCCCCCUCCCCAAAGUAGAUGCAAUGUGUCUGGGGUAUCACACAUUAUUCAGAGGUUGUAAGAAGAGAGAUAAAAGAAAUACAUUUUAGUUAUUGUAAUGAUAGUCACAGGUUUCCCCCUCCCCCGCUGUUGUUUUUAACACUGUGGGUUCAAUUUAAACCUGUGGUUAACCAAAAGCCUGUUUUCAUCCCCAUUUGAAUAGUACUUUUCUUUCUUUCUUUCACUUUUUGUGACUAGUAAGCCUAAAUGGAAGAAGAUAUACAUUCCCCUUUUGCCAUUUAUAUUGCCAGUGUGGGAGAGAGGAGUAAGAUCUUGACUGCUAUGUAGCUGUCACUGCUGCUGGGUUCUAGCCGUUCAGCUGCCCAGAACUGAUGGAAUGGCCCUGCUCAGGCCCAAUAUGGUGGCUUGACAGUUUCUAACAAAACAGCUAGCCCAUUCUGACCUGAAGGUUUGUUUCAUCUGGUCAACAAGUCCAUGUAACUCAGGGGCUUCCUAGGAAGGAGGGCAUUCCCUAUGGAAACGGGAACAGUUCAGGCACACCAACGUGAGGUAGUCACUCUAGUGGCAGCUCAUGUUUUAGAAAUGUAGUCUUUCACUCAGAGGAUACACCUAAUAAACACUGCUGGGCUGGCCCUCACUCCUAGCUGCUCCCCUGCAGCGCCUUUCUUCCAGGAAGCUGAUGGUCUGUUCUCCCUCUCCACCCAGUCCCCACUCUCCAAGCUGCCAGUGGAGCUGGCUGGCUUCUGUUCCUGAGAAUAAAUGGACCCUUAGUCUCCAAAAUCAUUUAGCCGCUCCUGGAGACUCAAAUGCUGCUGUCUUUAGUUUUGAAACCUGCCCUGACCGACUCUCCUGGUUCUCUAUGACAGUUCUGGUACUUCUGGAGUGUUUUAGCCUCCUUCAUAGUUUUGAAUUGACUACAUUUCUCUUUUAUCAGGUCCUUUAGCUGGGGCCAAGGAAAUGCCUGAGGUGUCUAGAGGCCUCUGAAAUCAAUUGUAAAGGCGACUGACUGUAUGUGAAGUAUGCCUUGAUUAUGCUUCAAAUGAGUCUCUAUUGCAAGUGGAUUUUAAAGUUUACCUUAAAUUUUGCUACUUCUGAUUUCUUCUGUCACUCCAUGGCCACAGCUCUCAAAACUGUAUGCAUUGCAAAAACUAGCAAGGUACUUAUUAUCAAACAAGUACCCAGAUCUCCUUAUGUGGUUCUGGCUCAGUGUGAAUUUCAGAUGGAGACUCCAUCUCUACAUGAUUAUAGAUUCUGGUGCCAACAAUCCUAGAAGGAGUCUCCUCAUGGUCCUCACCAUGGCUAGGGUUCAUGGUGAUUACCAGAGAUCCUGGGUUAAUAAAGCUCUCAUCCAGACACUGUAUUUCAGACUACUGGUAAUACCUCAGGUACCUCAAAAAUCGACAGGCUCAAACAGAAAACCUUUGCAAUGCUUCCUACUAUAAGAAGUGCCAGCCAUCCCACCUCCAGGCCAUGCCUGAUCUGUGAGAGUCAUUUUCGAUGCUCACCUCUUCAAGCCCCGCCCUCUAUGGCUACUAGGCCAGCUGUUGUGUUUCCUAAACAUAUUGCCGGUCUCUUGCCCUCUGGUCUCCUGGCUUGCUAGUGUUUGAAGCCUAUAUCAUUAUCAUCUAUACCUCUACAACAUCAUAAUGGCUUCCUGCCUACUUUCCUAUCUUUGGGUUCCAGUGUCUGGAGUCUCAAUAUCCCUUAAUGAGGCCAGAAAAAGACUUCAAAGGCAGAUGGGCCUGCCUCUUCAAGCCUCACUGGGAGCCUGACCACCCCACAGAGGCUAUAAUGACCUCAGACAGAGUGCUCAUCUGUGGUUCGUUCUCCUUACCUACUGCUCUCCUUCCUCUUUCCUCACUUCCCUGGUGGUUACUCUGAGGAAUUAAGAUGUACAUCUUGUCACCAUGUAAGUAAGGCACAACCUGGGCUCCUGGAAGGCCCUCAGAACUCUUCACAUUCCACCCUCCCAACAAGUCCCCAGCUGAGCCCCAACCCCAUCUAGUCUGGUGGAAAUAUGGCUCCUAACAGGUACUGUUUCUGUGGCCUCGCUAGCUCAGUUUAUUCUGUUUUGCCUACGGGACUCUUUCCAGCUGAACUGACAAGUACUUCCCACUAAUCUGUAAAGAAUUUAGAUACCUUUCUUUGUAGACAGGGUCUUGAUAUGUACCUCUGGCUGGUCUGGAACUCACUAUAUAGACCAUAUUGGCUUUGAACUUUAGAGACCACUAGCCUCUGCCUGCGGGGAUUAAAGAUGUGUGCCACCAUGUGUGGGGUGUUAAAGUCUUAAGUCCAAGUGUGAGAUGAUCCUUUUCUGAGCUCUCUAUUGCAUCUCCAGCCUACCUAGGUGGUUUUCUAAAAGCUACUCUACCAACUGUCUCAUUUUAGGUCCCUCUGUUGGGCAAUGUCUCCAUACAGGUUCUCCUAGUGCUGAUCUAAAAAGUAGGCCACAGUUCCAUUCCCACCUUGGAAGGUCCAGGAUGACAGGGUGGAUUCCUGGGCAUUUCCCUUCUCAAUGUCCUGGAACUGAUGUUGCCCUGUCUAGCACACUUCAGUGAGAAGGCUAGGCUGUGUCUCAUGGUAAAGUAGAGCUUGGCAGAAGAAGCGUCCCACAACAUUUGGGCCUUUAAAAUGACUUCACUGUUACUCAGGUAAUUAUGAAUAUUAUUGCUCAAGAUGUGUUCUCCUUACAUCCAGAGGUCUGAUUCAAAGCUUAGGUAAAGGGCAACUGCCUACUCCUACUCACCCGACUAGUGCUAAGAGUAAAGCAUGCUGCUUUGAACAUCUGUCUGUCCUGAGGAAUAUGAUCCAGGAAAAGAGGUUUUGCCUAUAAAACAGCACUACAGUGACCAACGGAGACAUACAAUGAAGCCCAUGGCCCCUGGAGGUGUGUUUCUGCAUCUGGCCCUACUGCAAGGUUAUGUGUGCUUCUGAUACUUAAUGGCUCCUAACAGGCACUGUUUUCAUAAAGGCUAUUUAGAGCUUAUGUGUCCUGAGACUGAACACUUCUGGAGGUCAGAACUUGUCUGAACCACUCUAUAUUCACCCAACAUACACCAGUGCCUUCAACUCCGAAAUUAGUGAGUGAUGGGGUGUGUGGUGAACUAUGUCCCAAGUCAAGAAAUUGGACCAGACUCCAAGGCAGUACAUAAAGCCCCAACAACUUGUUUGCUUUCAACAUAUAGCACCAAAAGUGAUUCCUAAAAGGAGCUGAGACCAUCAUUAAAGAAGCCCCCCCCCACACACACACAGCUGGGAGCAAGGCAGCCCCUCACUAGAGCCUACAAGGUAGCUCCAGGAUGAAGGGGUGGCUCCUGCUCAUCUACUGGAUUUCAGAAAAGAAACCAUGGGUAAAGCAAAUGGUCUUUGCUGACUUCCAUCUUCUUUGAGAAACUAUCACAUGCUAGUAUGGUAGACCACUUGAGGGGCACUCAAAAUCACUGAUUUGAAGUCAUCAUUGCAUUUCCUCCCACUUCCCACUGAAAUGUACAGAGUUCAUGGGGGAAAGGUCACCGCAUGGGAGUCCAUCUGGAGGCUUCUUCCAGCCUUCCUCACUGGCCUCAUCACUCCCACGCUCCACCUGCUCUGUUCCCACCCUUCUCCUCUAGCUGCCUCCUCCAAGGUCUUGCCCUUUCUCAUCCUCAAAGCUUGGCUCUUUUAUGAUGAAAAAGCAUGCACAUGUGCCAGAGAACAUAUAUAUGGACAAAUGUUGAAGAAAGUCAGAAAGCCAACCCUAGCCCCAACUAGCUUACCAUUCUACCAACGUAGUGUCAGGACAGACCCAAAUCAAUGAUGGGUUACUAAUGGGCUGUGACAAGGAUUGCUUAAACCUUAAAGCUAAACCUGCCCCUCAAACCUAAACUUAAGGAUAGUUCCUGAAGGACAAACAUGAGGGUCACUAGACCUCUUUACUUGUUCCUUUCCUAAUGUGGGCAAAAUCAACAAAUCUCUUUGUUUUUCCACUACUAUCUCUAACUGAUAUACUCAGGUGAAUCUAGCUUAUCAGAGGACCCAACUCUAAGGUCUCUAGAACCAGGGUAAGAAGGGGUCCAUUUAAUGCUGCCCAAGGGAUCACAGAGGCUGCUGUGAGGGAGAAGCAAAGCCUUUCAAGAAGAGAGAAUGAGCCAACCACGAAGGGAAGAGGGGCAGUGCUGGGCACACACAGCCCCUUCCACUAGGGUACACGGCUUUCCAACCUUCCUACAGGGGAAUGAGGAAGUCUGCACUAUAUUACCAUGUCACAGCUCAGCAACUGAGAACCACCUGGAGUCAGAGUAACUGACUGGCUCCAUACUGUAGUAGCUUGUUUUCCAGGAGGGCAGAUAGGCUUGCUGCAGGAGAAUGCCUGCCCAAGUCUAUGCUGAUGUGUAGGAGUCCCUCCGCUCUACUACUGACCUCACUGUUGCCAUGUGAUAUGCUUUUCUGCUCUCCUGAGCAAAGGGAAAUUCCUCACCUCCAAGUUCUCCUUGUUGUUGAAGCUGCUCUUUAAACUGUCAAAUCUACAGAGAUACGCAGUACAUGCAACUCUCCCUCUCAUUUAGACUGUCCAAGGUUCUAAGUUUACAUUUCUUUAAAACAGACAUACUAGCUAGGAUAUAGCUCAAGGGCAAAGCACUUACCUAUAAUAUAUGAGGCCCUAGAUUCGAUUCCCAGCACAAUAAAACAAAUGUUCUAACAUAUAAUUUAGGACACACACACCCACAUUUUUUUUCUAAUACAGAGUCCAUACUUUUUUCCAAAAAAGUUUUUGGCAAUUUUGGACCCAGGAUCUACUCAUAGCUCCUUAACAUAUGGCUGCUGGCUGUGCUGUUUGCUUACUCUAAACUAGGGUAUUAGGCUAUUUCUUUUUCACUGCUAAUGAAUUAUGUUUGUGAAGAACUUGAGCCCAAUCAUGUAGGCUGCCCCUGUUCUUUUUUCUACGUGGUUAGAACGGUGGGCCUCCAUCCCGAACCCAAGUGCACAUAAUGCUAAACUGCCUUCUGUUUGAAGCAUGUCCUCACAAGAGACAGCAGGAUCCUGGUCUUCUCUUGGUUGUUUUCAUACUUCCUCAUGUGCAACAUGAAUGGUUCCGCCACAGUGAGCGACUCUGUAGAAGCCCAAAGUAACAGAAUCCUGGACUAUGAACUAAAUAUAUAUUUUUUUCUAAGUUAAUUACAUCAAGUAUUUUGUAGUAAUGAAAUGGUGAGCAUUUAACAGUACUGGAAGUUAAAGUAUGUUUUAAAACCAAUGUCAAGUAUUUCUGGAAAGUUCCACUGUGAACUUAGGAAGCAAGAGUAAUAAAGUCUUGGUAUCAUCAUAAAUGCAGUUUUGACUCAGCCCGAGAAAGGUCAAUCUCCUUGCCACAUUUAGUAGUUCACUAACCUACAGAAAUAAAAAAACAAGGAACUAGAUAGCCACACAGUUCUGUGCAAACACAAAGUGCUACUGCCUGAGUAACCUUUAUCACAAAUAAAGGCUUUGGGCAACUCAGCCUACAAUUUUAUGUUAAACCCAAGCAUCUUCUUUUCCAUCCAGACUGCUGAAGGCUCACACUGGGAGGCCACAGGCAAUCUAGAUGUUUGCUUUUUUUAUCUGAGGCUACUAUCCUAAAUGUGUACAGUGGUCUUCACUUCUCUCUGAAGACUUGAGGAUUCUCAAAACAAAACAAAACAAAAACAAAAACAAAAAACAAAACCAACUGUUAAGGAAAUCUUAUAUUCUUAGGCUCACAGUAUUUCCUAUAACAUCUCAAAGCCACCAACUUAUCCCAUUGCUUGGAGAGCCAUCCCAUAGGCCAUGUGGACGUCAGGCUACGCAUGCCUCAGAAGCAUUCAGAAAGUCCGAUGUGCUCCAGGACAGCUGUGUUGUUAGAUCUCUGGCUCUGAGGGUAGCCUUGGAAUGAGAAUGGCUCAUUUCAGUUAACAUUCCCAAUCCUUAGCACACCCCUUUGGCUCAGUUCAACCAACAUCUAAGUAACUGCACUGUCAUUAGGCACAGGGACAGACAGAACUGAGCAACACACAAACAUCUUGCUCUGAAGCAGGUCUAGGCUGGUGGGCAGUUCUUGCCAUGGGGGUGCAAAACUUGCUAAGGAGGGCAGAGCUAGUGACAGUGUGGAAGGAUGGAUAUUGUAAACACUGUAGUAGGUCUUGGUUCUUACAAUUUGAGCUACAACUGAAAGGACACACAUGGCACAAGAGACCUGGUUCUAAUCCCAGCUGUAACAAGGACCUGAAGCUGUGACAUGGAGCAAGCACCUUAAGAGCGCUGUCUUGUUUGGGGGAAAGCAAGUCGACAGCUCCCAUGGCGACUACAUGCGAGGCACGCAGCCCCGCCCGGCUGGGAGAGCGCUUGUCAUUAGCACUGGCACAGGGUGGCUACUGGAUGUCUCUUCCAGCGACUCAAUUACCAGGGUAGCCACUGGGCUUGACCAGUUCUCCCACAGUUUCUACUUGGUCCCUGAGGAACAUGAUGUCCUGUUGUGAGUGACCAGGAGCUUCAGGCCAUUAGACUACUGGGGACGAAAGAUGGCAAACACUUCAGAAGCUCUCUUGGGCAAGGCAUGGCUUCAGAUCCUGGGGAAUCACUCCCAGAAGAGUCACUAUGAGGUCUUUGAGGCUUGCUUGGUCACAAGUUUCUGGGACAGAUGACCUUGAAUGAGAUCCCAGAGCGCUCUCUAAGACUGAGGGUGCCUCAGAAUGUGCAAGAUUUCACACAUCUUCACGCACAGAAUAUCUGUAGGCCCUUGAGAGCAAUAGAGAUGACUGGCUGCAGCCAGUAUCAAUUGCACAGGGCCACUAUUUCUUCCCCACUUAGAGUAACCACAACAUCUGACACCAUAGGAAGCUCCAUUGAGCAGCAGCAAUGGUAGCCAAGCAUCUCCAAGCACAGAGGAUCAAAAAGAAAUUGAACAUAGAGAUUAAACGUUUGAGUUCCCAGGCAUGGUCUUAAGCUUUGGGAAAACACUAGGGAAUUACAGGACCACAUCCCUGCUGUCUUGGAACUGGUAAUCCAGCUGGAGUGGAAAGGAAAGACAAAUAGUCAACAAAACAUGAAUGAAUUAGAUAGUAUGUCAGGAGAAAAUGAGUGCUUGAGAGAAAAACCCUACAUGGUAAAGAAGCUGAGUAACUAGGGAAGUGAACUGGCUCAUACUGGAAGAAGAGAUCAUCAAUUACUCAUUCUCAUUGUAUCCCGUGGCUGCACUGUGAUAUUGGCUAAUCAAUUCCUGCUUGUCAGCUUGCGCAAGAAACAUUUUGGGGGGUGUAUGCUGUACAGGGUUCAAAGCCUACAGUUCCUCCUAGUUCUGUCUGUGUCAAGCCCUGUUCCCUAGGAACCACCACCCACCUACAUCACACCAGACCCCACGCUUUCUUUCACCCACAUGGGUGUACUAGGAAGUCCUUCAGGCUACCCCUCCCACAUCCUUACUGUAUCUGGCUACCUCUCUCCUCCUUGCCCCUGAACUCCACCACCAGUCUACUGCCUCUGAUCUGGAUGGCUGAAGCAGCUUCCAAAGAAGACUUUCUGCCUCCAUUCUUGUCCUAGUGGCAACUAUUACCCACAGUGGUCAGUGGGAAUGUUCUUAGUGUGCUCAGGCUGCAGCUAGCUGUCUUUCCCUCCAAAGUUGCUCAUAACUUGGAAAGUAAAAUCAAACGGUUUGUGUACACUGACAGACUUCAGGAACUAUGUCCUUGGCCCUCAUUUUCUUCCAUUUUCCCAGUCACAUGACUUGGUCCUCUCUAUUUUUUUCUGACUCUCCAGUGUACCAAACUGUUCCCACCUCAGGGCAUUUGCUGUCUCUCUUUGCCACAAUAGUUUUCAGUUCUAAAUUUUAUAUCUGUCUCAUGUAAGCAUUGUGGUUUUAAAGAAAAUGUUCCGAGGACUGAUGAUGGCCCAGCAUUCUCUCCCCACCUCUCCAGCUGUUCUUUCUCUAGCUCUCCUUGGUAAUUUCUCAACUGCUGCCUGCCCUUCCCCUAGAAGAACUGUCUCUCCAGCAGCUCCAGCAGCCCAGGCUGACUGACUGACCUCUGAGAUAGCUCUUUGAAAGAAAUCCUUCCUGUGCUUCAGAAUUCUCUAAGAGGCCACUUCUCAGUGUGCCUAUGUUAUUUAGGGUUUGAGAGAGGAUUUCACUAAAUUGCUCAAUCUGUGGACCAGGUUGGCCUCAAACUCCCAACAACCUUCUCACAUCAGCCUUCCAAGUGCUGGGACUACGGGAGUGUGAUUCCCCACAUAUUACCUGUGUCGACGGUCCUAUACAGAGUGUGUCCCCAUCCUGCUAUAGCUCUUAUUCCUCCCCUGUCCGAGGCUGGAGGUCAAUUCUUCCUCCAGGACAGCACAGGGUUCACAGGCUCAUACCCCAGGCUUGGAUCUCACACACUCACUCACUGGUUGUGCUUCUGGCCAAGUCCUUUCACCUUCUCUUAGUUUAUUUCUCACUGACACAGAAAUGUAUUUGUGAAUAAUGUUCACAAAGGAGUCCAGGAAUACUGUCCCCUAGUCUGUGACCCUGGUGUGUGGACAACUUCUAGGUUCAGGCAACAGCAGAUGUUUAAGAGGCACUUCCCCUAAUUCCUUUAGAAUCCCUUAGAAAGAAUUCAAUUGUCAUGAAUUCCUACAAGGACAUGCACUGUGCCAUAGGAGGAAGAUAGUGGACACUACACACACUCAGGCAGCAUGCCCCUCACUUAGACGAGGGCACCGUCCUCUCUCUAGAGGGACUGUCUACAUGGGCAGAAUCUUUGUAUUUCUCUGGGUAUGGGGGUGCUUGCUUUGCCUUCAUGUGAUGCUCCUGUAUAUGAUCCAUCUUUAGGCCAUUUUCCUUUCACUCCGUCAUCAACCUCUUUUAGAAGCUCAGUUGCUGAGGCUGCGGCUGGGGGAGCUCCAUUCCCCAUAUUUGUUCUUGUCAGCACCGCUGUGAGGCAGUGUCCUGUGUUGUGAUAAGGGUGCAGGAAAAUUCAGCUCCUUGUCUCUGACGAGGUGCUAGAGAAAGGUUUCCUGGUUCAGAAGUGGCCUUGGUGACAGGAAGCCCUCUGUAGCCCUACCAUGGUUGUCAGGGUAAAUGGGGAGUCUAGAUGCUAUCGUGUCUUACAUGGACAGUCACAGUGUCAGGGCAUUAGCCUGUUUGUUCUGACAAGCACACAUAACCUUGUUGAGGAAGGGACACACAAUUCCCUGGCUUUCUUCUUACUUUGGCUACUAACUUACUGCAGACAAAUCUUGUCCAUCUCUAGUCUCCAGAGCUAGAAUUGGGACUUCAAACCCUGUCACUCACAAUGCUAUGAUACAAAGGGCUUCUUUUCAGCACGAAUAAGGGGUGCAUAAGGAACACAGUGACUCUGCUGAAGUGGAAAGUCAAAGGCCUAAAGUCCCGCUGCCCUGGGCCUACAGUCACUGUAGGAAGCUUCCCAGUUGCAACUUCUCCAAUGUCUAAGGGUUGAGAGACCUUUAAGAAAUCUUAGUGCCUCCUUCCCAUUUCCUUCUGGUGCUAUUUUCUACCCUAGUAAGCUUCCUCAGCUUUUACAAUAUAAUGUACAACUGAAAAUAUCAUACAUCUGAACAGAAGCAUUUUGGUUUUCACAGCUCCAUGCACAAAUCCCCUGAAGCUAUAGAAAAACUAAACACACACAGACACAGACACAGACACACACACAGACACAGACACACACACAGACACACACACACACACACACACACACACACACACACACACACACACACACACACACACACACACACAGCAGGAAUAAAAUCACCAAAACUCCAGCACCAAAUCAGUGUUCUCUGGCCUAGCUGGGCUGCAGUUGCUCAGCAGACUGAAUAGGAGGGGCAGCCAUGUUCCCUGGCUGCUUACGCUGUCUUCGCUUUCUCAUUCAUUCCAGUAAACUCACUGCAAAGUGUGUCUCAAGUGUCUGGAUGAGGCAGCAUGGGGAAGCUCCAGGUCUGGUCCCUCCUCAACCAGUUACAGGAACGGAACACUCACUGUUUGGAUGGCCACUCAGAGUACAGCCUGGUUUUCAGGUGACUAGCACUCAACAAUACUCAACAUCAUCUAUGGGACGAGCAGCCAAAGAGGGACAAGUCUCUCCACAGGUCACGGUGCAUGCAGCUUCUGUUUUCUAAAGGAAACUAGGCCUCAUCUUGGUCCGGAGGCACUGCUCAAAAGCCUUGCCCUACCACCCCCCCUCUGAGUAAUAAACUCUCCCUCAGAGUUCAGAAUCCCCUCUAUUCUCUAAGGUAGGUGGUCAAUUCUGAGUAAGUCUUUCUGACUCAGUGACUCAAGGUCACUGGCAUCUACACGUAUAGGACAGGUCUGAGAAGAGCAGAAGGGACUGAGGUUACUUAGAAUUUUGGCAAGUCCUUUGCCCUAUGGCUCUGGAUGUCCCCAUCACUGGUAUCCACAAGGACCAGAGAGGACCUCUAGAGAAGCCUCAACACCAAAAGCCUAGGUUUCCUCUGCCCAUCCUGGGUUCCAGUACUCACCCCGGGACCAUGACUGAAUGAAGUCUGCACGGGAACCCUGAGGAGAGUCCUGUGCUCUGAAUCUGAAGACCACAAACCCUCUGAAGACAGCUAGGAUUUAGACUCUUCUUAAAAACCAAACAGGAAAA